rnacentral:rRNA from 1 species
CAGUAGCCGCGGGAAUACGUAGGUGGCAAGCGUUGUCCGGAAUUAUUGGGCGUAAAGCGCGCGCAGGCGGUUUCUUAAGUCUGAUGUGAAAGCCCCCGGCUCAACCGGGGAGGGUCAUUGGAAACUGGGAAACUUGAGUGCAGAAGAGGAGAGUGGAAUUCCACGUGUAGCGGUGAAAUGCGUAGAGAUGUGGAGGAACACCAGUGGCGAAGGCGACUCUCUGGUCUGUAACUGACGCUGAGGAGCGAAAGCGUGGGGAGCGAACAGGAUUAGAUACCCCCGUAGUCCCUGUCUCUUAUAC